rnacentral:rRNA from 1 species
GAUGAACGCUAGCGGCAGGCCUAACACAUGCAAGUCGAACGGUAACAGGGAAAAGCUUGCUUUUCCGCUGACGAGUGGCGCACGGGUGCGCAACGCGUAUAGAACCUACCCUGUACAGGGGGAUAGCCCGGAGAAAUCCGGAUUAAUACCCCGUGGUAAUUAGAAUCGGCAUCGGUUUUAAUUUAAAGCUUCGGCGGUACAGGAUGGCUAUGCGUCCUAUUAGUUAGAUGGUGAGGUAACGGCUCACCAUGGCAUCGAUAGGUAGGGGCCCUGAGAGGGGGAUCCCCCACACUGGUACUGAGACACGGACCAG